GGUUAUAGCUCAGUGGUAGAGUGCUUACUUGGCAUGUGUGAGGCACUGAGUUCAAUCCUCAGUGCUACCU
rnacentral:tRNA from 2 species